rnacentral:rRNA from 1 species
GCGGCCUAUCAGCUUGUUGGUGAGGUAAUGGCUCACCAAGGCGACGACGGGUAGCCGGCCUGAGAGGGCGACCGGCCACACUGGGACUGAGACACGGCCCAGACUCCUACGGGAGGCAGCAGUGGGGAAUAUUGGGCAAUGGACGAAAGUCUGACCCAGCGACGCCGCGUGCGGGAUGAAGGCCUUCGGGUUGUAAACCGCUUUCAGCAGGGAAUAAGCGCAAGUGAAGGUACCUGCAGAAGAAGCACCGGCUAACUAUGUGCCAGCAGCCGCGGUAAUACAUAGGGUGCAAGCGUUGUCCGGAAUUAUUGGGCGUAAAGAGCUCGUAGGUGGUUUGUUACGUCGGUUGUGAAAUUCAGGGGCUCAACCCCUGACUUGCAGCCGAUACGGGCAAGCUAGAGUUUGGUAGGGGAGACUGGAAUUCCU